GACGAACGCUGGCGGCGUGCUUAACACAUGCAAGUCGAACGGAAAGGCCCUGCUUUUGUGGGGUGCUCGAGUGGCGAACGGUGAGUAACACGUGAGUAACCUGCCCUUGACUUUGGGAUAACUUCAGGAAACUGGGGCUAAUACCGGAUAGGAGCUCCUGCUGCAUGGUGGGGUUGGAAAGUUUCGGCGGUUGGGGAUGGACUCGCGGCUUAUCAGCUUGCUGGUGGGGUAGUGGCUUACCAAGGCUUUGACGGGUAGCCGGCCUGAGAGGGUGACCGGCCACAUUGGGACUGAGAUACGGCCCAGACUCCUACGGGAGGCAGCAGUGGGGAAUAUUGCACAAUGGGCGGAAGCCUGAUGCAGCAACGCCGCGUGCGGGAUGACGGCCU
rnacentral:rRNA from 1 species